GAUGAACGCUGGCGGCGUGCCUAAUACAUGCAAGUCGAGCGAACAGACCCUGCGCUUUCUUCUCUGACGUUAGCGGUGGAUGGGUGAGUAACACCUUGCUAACCUACCUUUAAUACUCGGCUAAAUUCGGGAAACCGGCGCUAAUCCCCGAUAAUUUAUUUAACCUCAUUGUUCAAUAUUUUAAGACGGUUUUUCUGUUACUUAUCGAUUGAUCCGCGCCGCAUUAGCUAGUUGGUAAGGUAACGGCUUACCAAGGCAACGAUGCGUAGCCGACCUGAGAGGGUGAUCGGCCACACUGGAACUGAGACACGGUCCAGACUCCUACGGGAGGCAGCAGUAGGGAAUCGUCCGCAAUGGGCGAAAGCCUGACGGAGCAACGCCGCGUGAGUGAUGAAGGUCUUCGGAUCGUAAAACUCUGUUAUUAGGGAAGAACAAAUGUGUAAGUAACUAUGCACGUCUUGACGGUACCUAAUCAGAAAGCCACGGCUAACUACGUG
rnacentral:rRNA from 1 species